UGUUGGCGAGAUGGAGUUAGUGGUAAUACCACGUGACAACCUAGCGCGAUGUAAAUAAACCUUACGCACAGCGCUAGCGAUCCCUUUGUUUCGUUGGUGGAUUUAAAUACCCCGCGAAAGAUAUAAAAAUUGAUUGGUUUAUUAAAAUGAAUAUGCAACAGAUUACCAAAUAAGGCUUUACAAACCAUCAAUGAAGUUAUGUACGGUCGACAGUUGCCAUCUAGCGUGCACAAAUUAUGAUAAUGUGUGUUUUUUAUGCAGCGUGUGACUUGUGACCUGGAAUUCGUCAAGUCGCAACGUACGAAGUGUACAUGUGUCAUGGCGUGACGAGUGGGGACCUUCGUGGCCAUGUUUUGGCAUGAUUUCGGAGAUUCAGACGGAAAUCUCAAAGACCUAUUGGUUGUCUCUCGGACGCUGUGGAGGAGGUUUGCCUACAGUUCUUCUUAUGCGGAGUGUACGGCAUUCCACCAUGACACGCAGAUGACGUACCCUGCCCUGACGAAGGAUACCUUCAGAAAAUUUGACAAUUUUCAUCGGUUUUGAAGAGUUUCUUCCUAUUUCUGGAUUGAAGAUGGCAACGACAUGCAUGGCCGGGUAUAAUGGACAAGCUUUGGAUUCCUCCGCAUCUGAUCUGUACUACCCACCCAUUGCAAUUGAACUCCGUAUCAGUUCCUGACCAUGCCAUGACAUGGCCAUGUUCAUUCAAACAGCCCAACCCCCACUCUGAACCUUUCUAAAUAGUCCAUGGUGUGGAGUACAUGUACAAAUACUUUUAGUGUGAUCUGAAUUGGGAGUGGUAGGUGUAGUGUGUUCGCUGCCUCCCUGUCCCAGAUGCUUGAAUAACAUAGUUGACUUAAACAUUUCAUAAUGAAUAUCUUACUGCCGGGGGGGUUGAGAGAAUUGAGAUAGUUUGGGAAUUUCGGAGAUAACUGGAGGUAAUCUUUGAUCAGGACAGUUUCUGUUUUGUCCUUAUUGCCAUUUCAGAUGGUAUAUAUCUUGUCAAUGUCACCACAAACUGACACUUGCGCACACUUGAGUAUUUACAGAUUCGGGAUAUUUUGGGUUUCACAAAAUGACAUCCCCCACAGUGCAACACUUUUAGAGUGCACCCAUGCAUUUUCGGUUUCACGAACUGACACUGAUCUUAAUUUUACCAAUUAAAUCGCUUUUUAAUGAAAAAUUUGUACAUGUAUAAUCGCACAAGUACACGGAUAUUGCCGCAUCAUGCUUGGGUGUCAGUUCGUGAAAACAAAAAUGUACGGGGUGCGCUCUAAAAGUGCCGCACUGUGGCGGAUAUCAGUUCGUAAAACCCAAAAUAUCCCGGUUCUGUAAACACGCGCGCGUACAGCGCACACACGGGUGCGAGAGUGUCGUUCGUAGUGACGAUGACAAUCUGUACCUGAUUUCAUGAAACUUAUUGUAACCUACGAUGCAUCGUUGUAUCCCUAGGAUGACGCAUCCUGUGAUUCAUUUUACAAAAUAUGCUGUAAGUGCGACACGUCGUAGUGUAUUCAAAGGACAAAAGGUGACUACAUGUACAUGUUCAUGUAUUUUCAUGUUAUGUUUUUAUUCAAAGUACAGUAGUCGUCGAAAAGUCAACAAAGAGUCGUCGAUUGUACUUGUGAAAACUUUUCUAAAAUAUUUAACAAAAUUGACGAUGUAUGAUGCAUUCACACUGGAAAAGAACUUCACAGUGGACUGUGUUUGCAUCAAAUUGUGAAGCGAUGUAGUGCUUUGUAAAUCUGGGGGGGGGGGGGCAGG
rnacentral:lncRNA from 1 species